rnacentral:lncRNA from 1 species
UUUGUACAUCCUAUGGUCUAAGUGUUUAAUAACACACAGAGUAUGAUCAGAUCUACAAGAGAAUCUUAAAGAUUCAUAGAAACUGAUCACCUCCAUGAAUCAACCAGAUGCUAAUAAAUCGUAGAGCUGAUUCUCACUCUGUGAACAUCUAUACUCUAUGAUCAUAACUUAGCAUAUGAUGAAACCAUCAAGGAAAAGAGUGUUUUAUAAAAAUAACAGAUUUCUCUCACACUCACC